rnacentral:rRNA from 1 species
GUUGUAAACCUCUUUCAGUAGGGAAGAAGCGAAAGUGACGGUACCUGCAGAAGAAGCGCCGGCUAACUACGUGCCAGCAGCCGCGGUAAUACGUAGGGCGCAAGCGUUAUCCGGAAUUAUUGGGCGUAAAGAGCUCGUAGGCGGUUUGUCGCGUCUAUCGUGAAAGUCCGAAGCUCAACUUCGGAUCUGCGGUGGGUACGGGCAGACUAGAGUGAUGUAGGGGAGACUGGAAUUCCUGGUGUAGCGGUGAAAUGCGCAGAUAUAUGGAAGAACACCAGUGGCGAAGGCGGCUCUCUGGUCUGCAACUGACGCUGAGGCUCGAAAGCAUGGGUAGCGAACAGGAUUAGAUACCCUGGUAGUCCAUGCCGUAAACGAUGAGUGCUAAGUGUUGGGAGGUUUCCGCCUCUCAGUGCUGCAGCUAACGCAUUAAGCACUCGCCUGGGGAGUACGACGCAAGGUUGAAACUCAAAGGAUUGACGG